GUGGCUACUCAGGGCACCGCCAUGAUAGGCUGUGGCCGGAAGGAGAGUCGGGGCGUCGCCAUGACACAGAGGCCUUGAAAGGGCUAAGGCAGCCUGCUUGCUUUGCCACGCCGUACUGAGACCGGAAAAGAGGAGGCAAGGCGGGUUGGGCGCCACCAUGACAACCUACAUCGGAAGAGGCCAGUCCUCCUCGGAGACUGCACUGUCUGGGCCACGAGGGGCGGAGCCUGGACACUGCGGAGAUAGAGCAAAAGAACCAGAACUGGUCUUCAUUCCUGCUGAUUGAACACCUGGUGGACUAAAGUAGAAAAUAUGGAUGAAUGACAAGCUAUGGUAUCCAAGACUGAAAAAUAAUCACUGCAUUAUUUUCUUCUGGCUGAAUAUACAUGAACGUGAUGGUUCUAGGGAACAGUAAGAUGACCCUCAGGUGGGAUGCACAAGUUCCAGUGUUUAUUUGCCAGCAGAGGGCAUUCCCACAACAUACAUGGUUGUUCAGGCAUAGGAAGUAAUGA